rnacentral:rRNA from 1 species
GAUGAACGCUAGCGGCAGGCUUAACACAUGCAAGUCGAGGGGCAGCAUACCCGGUGACGGGUGAUGGCGACCGGCGUAAGGGUGAGUAACGCGUGAGCAACAUACCCGUAUCAGUGGGAUAAUACAGGGAAACUUGUUCUAAUAUCACAUAAUAUUAUACAGAGGCAUCUUUGUAUAAUUAAAGUUCAGGCGGAUACGGAAUGGCUCGCGUGACAUUAGCUAGAUGGUAGGGUAAAGGCCUACCAUGGCUAUGAUGUCUAGGGGUUCUGAGAGGGAGGUCCCCCACACUGGAACUGAGACACGGUCCAGACUCCUACGGGAGGCAGCAGUGAGGAAUAUUGGACAAUGGAUGAAAAUCUGAUCCAGCCAUGCCGCGUGCAGGAAGGCGGCCCUAUGGGUUGUAAACUGCUUUUGUACGGGAGCGAAUAAGGUCUACGAGUAGAUUGAUGAGAGUACUGUACGAAUAAGCAUCGGCUAACU